CAGCAGCCGCGGUAAAACGAAGGGUGCAAGCGUUAAUCGGAAUUACUGGGCGUAAAGCGUGCGUAGGCGGUUUGUUAAGUCUGCUGUGAAAUCCCCGGGCUCAACCUGGGAAUGGCAGUGGAUACUGGCAAGCUAGAGUGUGUCAGAGGAUGGUGGAAUUCCCGGUGUAGCGGUGAAAUGCGUAGAGAUCGGGAGGAACAUCAGUGGCGAAGGCGGCCAUCUGGGACAACACUGACGCUGAGGCACGAAAGCGUGGGGAGCAAACAGGAUUAGAUACCCCCGUAGUCCCUGUCUCUUAUAC
rnacentral:rRNA from 1 species